rnacentral:rRNA from 1 species
CAGCCGCCGCGGGAAAACGGAGGGUGCAAGCGUUAAUCGGAAUUACUGGGCGUAAAGCGCACGCAGGCGGUCUGGCAAGUCAGAUGUGUAAUCCCCGGGCUUAACCUGGGAACUGCAUUUGAAACUGUCAGGCUGGAGUCUUGUAGAGGGGGGUGGAAUUCCAGGUGUAGCGGUGAAAUGCGUAGAGAUCGGAAGGAACAUCUGUGGCGAAGGCGACUAUCUGGGCCAACACUGACACUGAGGCACGAAAGCGUGGGGAGCAAACAGGAUUAGAUACCCCGGUAGUCCCUGUCUCUUAUAC